UAGGGUUCGAUCCUGGCUCAGAGUGAACGCUAGCGGCGUGGAUUAGGCAUGCAAGUCGAGCGCGAAAGUGAAUAAAGGAUUCCUUCGGGAUGACUGCAUUUGCGAGUAGAGCGGCGAAAGGGUGAGUAAUACAUGGCUAAUAUGCCCCCAACACUGGAAUAACUUCGGGAAACUGGAGCUAAUGCCAGAUGGUCUCAUGAAACCUCAUGGUUUUUUGUGUAAACGGUAGGGAUCCCUUCGGGGACCUUCUGGUUGGGGAGUGGGUCAUGCGCUAUCAGCUUGUUGGUGAGGUAAUGGCUCACCAAGGCUAUGACGGCUAGGCGGUCUGAGAGGAUGGCCGCCCACAUCGGGACUGAGACACUGCCCGGACUCCUACGGGAGGCUGCAGUCGAGAAUCAUCCGCAAUGGGCGAAAGCCUGACGGUGCGACGCCGCGUGAGGGACGAAGGCUCUUGGGUUGUAAACCUCUUUCGCCUGUUAAGAAUUCUUGUUGGUUAAUAGCUUUCAAGUUGACAAAGGCAGGUAAAGAAGCACCGGCUAACUCCGUGCCAGCCGCCGCGGUAAUACA
rnacentral:rRNA from 1 species